CAGAACACAGCCAUUUUUUUCCAGGCCACCUGCCAGAGCCCACAUUCCCCAGGCUCCAUAUAUGGGCCUCCCCACAGGCCCCCACAGCCAGAGCCUCACCUCUGAGGGGACUAAGGCAGCCAGGCGAGUCAGGAAGGUGGAGGCCACGUCUUAAACACCUGGCCUCUUCUUCUCUUCUCCGAGCAUCCGGAACAAAUCAGACCCACAGAAAAUCUUCACUCAUGUCCCUCAGCCAAGGCACCCUUUACCUGCGAGCUCUUUUCAGCCUGGGACGGAUUCCUGAGUCUUUCGAUUCCUUGGGCUCUGUAACCCUCCCUGAGAGGCCACAAUCCCUUAUCUGUGGAGGUCCCAGUCGUCCCCACUGUUACCCAUUUGCUUGCGACAAACAUGGGGCUGGCACUUCGGCAGGGGAAAAGCAGCAGCAGGAGUUGAUCAAUUCCUAAGCAACGGAAGAUCCUGUUUUCAUGCAAACGUCCCCGGCAUUAAAACAAAAACAAAUUCUUCCCAGGGCGCGUCCUGGAUGCCAAGUCUUCUUGCAAGACGCAUUUUGAAGCAGGGUUUUGCGCCUGCGUGGGAGACUAACGGGGGCUGGGAGGAGAGCUGCAUGCCAACGGCGACUCUAUAGGCUCUCAUUUAAAACUCACAGCCACCCCCUGAGCUAGCCACAGCCGGAUCCCGAUUUGACAGACGAGGAAACUGGCAGAGGGAAAUGAGGAAACAUGUCCAGGGUCAAUCAGCUGGCAAGUGGCAGCCAGGGGAUGUGACCAGAUCUGACCGGAGCUGUUUUGUUUUGGACACAGGCACAAUGCGACUGUAUUCACCUUACAGAGACCAGGGGGUGACCAUGAACAUUUCAAGAUGACUAGAGGUGAAAUCUUUUUCUCCUUAGUGUGCUUUUCUCAUCACAUAAAUAAAAAACUGUACUUUUCUCAACAAAGAGAAAGAAGGAAUGAACCUGGGUACCACUUCUCUUCACACGAUAAUCCGGUCCUGGGUAUGACUCUGGAUGAAAUGUUAGAACUGACUAAAUGCUGUGGAGUCUGUGAUGCCUACAAAAUGCUCAGAAGCAUCCCUGAUGACUUGGCUGUGGCCACCUUCUCAGCUCUCUUGCCUCUGAGGCCAGUAGCAGAUAAAGGGAGGGUGACAGAAAGAGAUGUAACAAACAAAUGCAGGGCCCUUAGGUGGAAAGGCAACAAAUGCCCUUGAGUUCUGAAGAGGUGGGGAUCACUGAGGGCUUCCUGGAGGAGGAAUUUAUUCCAUAGCAACUCGGAGGCUUUAUAACAGACAGCUGUGGCCUGGUCCUGCAGGAGCUGGAUGCCCACCAACUCUGGCAUUACUGGAACACUUCCAGGGACACUGGGCUGGCCCAGUGGUUAUGGACAGUGCCCACGGGCCAUCUAGCCUCCAGCUGGCUCCAGAAGCUUUGUUCUUCAGGAUCAUGGGGUUCAAAGACAACAUGCAUUGAUGGGGUAAGGGCAGACCACAAGAGUCACUUUUGGCAAAUGACCAGGCCUAUAGCACUUUUGUGCUGCAAGAUCAUCAGGUACUGUCCCCUUCCUGCUGAUUCCUUGCUCACGGCUGACGGUCCAGCCAAGACUCCAGCUCGAACCUAUUUCCUCUUGCCUCUGAAACCCUCCGUGCAGCCCCCUUUCUCACACUGAGGCAGUGGCUGCACUACGUGCUCAGAAGCACCCAGCGAUCCUGGGAUUGGGAGAUACAGAGAGCAUACCUCCUGGAGGCAGCCUUCUCAAGGUAACCAGCAAGCGAAUCCAGGGCAGGGAGGAGCUUCCUCCUGGUUCAUCUCCCUUCCUAGUGCUACUGCUACUACAGCAACUGGGACUGAGCAGGCAAAGGUCUGGUGCUGGGAAUGGUGAGUAGGCAAGUCUGGCAGGAGAAAAGGGCCCAUAAAGGGACUUUGUGGUAGUUAAAAGUGACAGGAACCAGCUGAGUGGAAAGAGCAUGGACUUUGUGUACAAAAGACCUGGGCUGGCAUCCAACACUGACGCCGUGUCAGGGGUGGAGAGUGCUCCCCAGUAUUCACCGUCUCCUUUUCCUCCCUGGGCAGCAGCUGGACUACAUUUCCCAGGCUUCUUUGUGGUGACAAGUGGUCAUGUGACAGCUUUUUGGCCAAUGGAAUUUGAAAAGAAAUGAUGUGAGCUCUGGGCCCUAAAAACCUCCCACUUGUGGUUCUGUCUUUUCUCUAUCCACCAACUGAAUGGAAAGUGCUCCCAAGACUAGAGAGAGACAGAACCACAAGAGGGAGGAGCCUGGGUCCAUGAAUCACUGUGUGGAACACCGCGUGCCAGACAUACACUCUGAAUUGUGGUCUGAGCAGGAAAUAGCCUUCUAGGGUGUGAAGCUAUUAAAAUUUGGUGAUUGAUAAAGCUGUUAGUUCAACCGGACUAGUAUAAUGUUUUACUUGCCACGUGACUUUGGAUGACUUUCUUAACCUUCCAAAGCUUAGAUCUCCUCAUCUGUAAAAUGAGAAUUAAAAACAAAACCUUCCUGAGAAUGACUGGGCUAGCAUUUGUAAAGUUCCUCCAACCAAGCCUGCUUCAUGAUUUUUGUGAGCCCUAGGCUUUUGCCUUUGUGGGUCCCUUCCUGCAUUUAAAACGAACAAAUAAACAACCUCAAAAAUUA